UACAGAGGUCCCAAGCGUUGUUCGGAUUCAUUGGGCGUAAAGGGCGCGUAGGCGGCGGGGUAAGUCUGGUGUGAAAUCUCGGAGCUCAACUCCGAAAUUGCACUGGAUACUGCUCUGCUAGAGGGCUGGAGAGGAGAUCGGAAUUCACGGUGUAGCAGUGAAAUGCGUAGAUAUCGUGAGGAAGACAGUGGCGAAGGCGGAUCUCUGGACAGCUCCUGGACGCUGAGGCGCGAAGGCUAGGGGAGCAAACGGG
rnacentral:rRNA from 1 species